GCCUGUGGCGCAAUGGGUCAGUGUGUCUGGCUGUCAACCAGAAGGUUGGUGGUUGGAGCCCAACCAGGGACG
rnacentral:tRNA from 1 species